ACUACCCUUAGAGGCAUUGCAGAUGUGGCUGCUAUGUCAUAUGUACACCAGUAGGUGGUGGAAAGGAGACAGGCCACAUGUAUGUUCAGUCAUCUGAGCUGUGACCAUCUGAAUGAUUAGUAACCUAACAUU